CAGUUAGCUGCUACAGGUAAAUGACUAGGACGCUAACGUUAGACGUAACAUUAAUGUUAGUUAAAUAGAUUAACAGAUCAACUUCUCAGAAUAUGUAAAUUAAGGAGAGACACCCUAAAAGCCUCAAGUGCACGUUCAUGCAGUGUCCAUGCAGUUUGAAGUCAGUCGGUCACAAGACAUUCCCAUGGUGAAUAAAUGCAUAAUGUGCUUUAUUUAAAGCAUUUAGGUACGAAGCCUUCCGAUAAUUAUGAAUACAUUAAAGGACACUUACUGGAUCUGCUCCCUGCUAUCUCAAUUCUAUAAUCAAGCUGUACAUCCCCAACCGUCCACUGCGGUCUUCUGAUGAGCGUCUGUUAUGAGCAAAACUGCGUGGGAAAAGGAACUUGGAACUGAAAUGUCAGAAAACGUAUGGACUAAAGCUCUAACAAGAAUGAACAACAGCACUUCCUGUGCAAGACUAAUUCAAUUCAAGGUUGUUCAUCGCCUACACUGGAGUAGAGCUAAGAUAUCCUCAUUCUAUCCUAAUAUAGAUAGCAAAAUGUAAGAUGUCAUGUUAAUGUAGCUGACUUGACACAUAUGUUUUGGUCAUGCCAUACACUAGCAGGUCAACUAUAUUUGCUGUAUUGUCUGAAGUUCUUGGGGCGACUUUAGAACCAUGCGCUAUAAUUGCAAUAUUACCAGAGGAAGAAACAAACUUAAAGCGAAAACAACUCAACAUCAUAGAAUCUGUACUUUUUCUCUGAAGGUCUUGAAGGUGUUGAAUGUGUAUAUAUAUAUAUAUUUGUAUUUUCCUUUUUUGUUUCCUUUUUUUCCCUUUCUGUCUACAUCUGAGUGCUUACACAGGACUGGUUAAUUGAUGUACCACACCCACCAAUUCUGCGUCCUGUUCCGUGAGCACCAACCAGGCUGAAGCGCAAGUGACCCCCUUCUAUCAUAGAAUCUGUAUCUUUACUGGCGCAUAGGCAAAUUUUACUCCAUUGGAAGUCAAGCGCCCCACCCAUUGCAGCACAUUGGCUGUUUUUACAUCUGGAAACGAUUAAAUUCACAGUAAGAGGUUCUAACAAAUUCCUCUCAGUGUGGGAAUCUCUAUUGUCAUACUUUAGUAACCUUUAGUACCGGUGUAGGAAGUGGCCAUCCUGGCUGACUCCAGGACUGCCCCCCUCUGUAUUCAAGCUAAAACACCUGGCUACCCAAGAUCCAUGGUGUGUCAUGAUGGAGUUUUGAAGGCGUGCUGUCCGUCACAGAAAUCAUAUUUGUUUAUUCAUGUUUCAAUUCAAAUGUAGUAUUUCCUUUAGAAUUGUCUGUAUUGUUAAUACUUUCUUAUUUGGUCCAGUCGGGGUGGACUGGGAGGGGGGUGUUUUGUGUGUAAGAAAAAGAAAAACUCAUGUAACUGUACUGAUGUGUCUGUUCAUAAUCUAUAUUUCUAUAUAAAAAGUGGUUUAAAGAAAAGAAAACAAAUAAAUCAUCCCAUGUUUAUGAAUUUGUACAUGAACUGAUUUCAGCCGCCAUGCACAUUUGGUCCCCUCAAAUGUUGGCUCCAUAGCUACGGCCUUGUAGCCUGCCCUUGCCCACCUAGAUCUUCUUUCAGGGAGAUCUAAUCUGGGACACCA